rnacentral:rRNA from 1 species
AGUCGAGCGAAUCGAUGGGAGCUUGCUCCCUGAGAUUAGCGGCGGACGGGUGAGUAACACGUGGGCAACCUGCCUAUAAGACUGGGAUAACUUCGGGAAACCGGAGCUAAUACCGGAUACGUUCUUUUCUCGCAUGAGAGAAGAUGGAAAGACGGUUUACGCUGUCACUUAUAGAUGGGCCCGCGGCGCAUUAGCUAGUUGGUGAGGUAAUGGCUCACCAAGGCGACGAUGCGUAGCCGACCUGAGAGGGUGAUCGGCCACACUGGGACUGAGACACGGCCCAGACUCCUACGGGAGGCAGCAGUAGGGAAUCUUCCGCAAUGGACGAAAGUCUGACGGAGCAACGCCGCGUGAACGAAGAAGGCCUUCGGGUCGUAAAGUUCUGUUGUUAGGGAAGAACAAGUACCAGAGUAACUGCUGGUACCUUGACGGUACCUAACCAGAAAGCCACGGCUAACUACGUGCCAGCAGCCGCGGUAAUACGUAGGUGGCAAGCGUUGUCCGGAAUUAUUGGGCGUAAAGCGCGCGCAGGUGGUUCCUUAAGUCUGAUGUGAAAGCCCACGGCUCAACCGUGGAGGGUCAUUGGAAACUGGGGAACUUGAGUGCAGAAGAGGAAAGUGGAAUUCCAAGUGUAGCGGUGAAAUGCGUAGAGAUUUGGAGGAACACCAGUGGCGA